AGAGUUUGAUCAUGGCUCAGAACGAACGCUGGCGGCAGGGCCUCAAACAUGCAAGUCUAGGGGGGUGUAGCAAUACAUCACCGGCGGACGGGUGCGUAACACGUGGGAAUACACCUUUGGUUCGGAACAACGCAGGGAAACCUGCGCUAAUACCGAAUGUGCCCUUACGGGGGAAAGAUUUAUCGCCAAAGGAUUAGCCCGCGUAGGAUUAGCUAGUUGGUGAGGUAAUGGGCUCACCAAGGCUCCGAUCCUUAGCUGUUCUGAGAGGAAGAUCAGCCACACUGGGACUGAGACACGGCCCAGACUCCUACGGGAGGCAGCAGGUUGGGAAUCUUGGACAAUGGGGGAAACCCUGAUCCAGCCAUGCCGCGUGAGUGAUGAAGGCCUUCGGGUUGUAAACUCUUUCGACGGGGACGAUAAUGACGGUACCCGUAGAAGAAGCUCCGGCUAACUUCGUG
rnacentral:rRNA from 1 species